UGGGUUGCAUUCAGGUGAUGUAGGGUAGUAUCCUGCAAGUCUUA
rnacentral:tRNA from 3 species